GAUGAAGAACGUAGCGAAAUGCGAUACUUGGUGUGAAUUGCAGAAUCCCGUGAACCAUCGAGUCUUUGAACGCAAGUUGCGCCCGAAGCCAUUAGGCCGAGGGCACGCCUGCCUGGGCGUCACACGUCGUUGCCCCCCCAUCUACUCCUUCGGGAUUGCGGGGGGCGGAUGAUGGCCUCUCGUGCGCCUCGUCGCGCGGUUGGCCUAAAUGCCAAGUCCUCGGCGACGCACGCCACGACAAUCGGUGGUUGCGAAACCUCGGUUGCCUGUCGUGUGCGGUCGUCGCGCAUCGAGGGCUCGAAAAAAUUGCCGGGCUUCGGCUCGACUUUCAACGCGACCCCAGGUCAGGCGGGGUUACCCGCUGAAUUUAAGCAUAACAAUAAGCGGAGGA
rnacentral:misc_RNA from 1 species